ensembl:snRNA U1 U1 spliceosomal RNA
AUACUUAUCUGGCAGGGGAAAUCCCAUGAUCAUGAAGGUGGUUUUCCCAGAAUGAGGCUCAUCUAUUGCACUCUGAAUGUGCUGACCCCUGCAAAUUCCCCAAAUGCAAGGAAACUGUACCCCAUAAUUUUUGUGGUAGAGGGAUUUGUUUGUGCUCUCCCUUG